rnacentral:miRNA from 1 species
UUGUGCAAGGUACGUUGGGUU